AUUGAACGCUGGCGGCAGGCUUAACACAUGCAAGUCGAGCGGAGCGGCGGACGGGUGCGGAAUGCCUAGGAAUCUGCCUGGUAGUGGGGGAUAAGGUCAGGAAACGGGCGCUAAUACCGCAUACUAUCAGAUGAGCCUAGGUCGGAAUAGCUAGUUGGGGGGGUAAAGGCCUACCAAGGCCACGAUCCGUAACUGGUCUGAGAGGAUGAUCAGUCACACUGGAACUGAUACACGGUCCAGACUCCUACGGGAGGCAGCAGUGGGGAAUUUUGGACAAUGGGCGAAACCCUGAUCCAGCCAUGCCGCGUGUGUGAAGAAGGUCUUCGGAUUGUAAAGCACUUUAAGUUGGGAGGCGUUACCAACAGAAUAAGCACCGACUAACUUCGUGCCAGCCGCCGCGGUAAUAC
rnacentral:rRNA from 1 species